UAAAAAUGAUGAUACCAGAGAAUGGUUUCGCUUAUGUGACUGAUAUCAUGUGAUUACACUUUUCUCUUGGCUAUCUGAUUAA